GUGUGUGUGUGUGAGUGGGGGAGGGGAAGAUGGUCAGUAGGACAGAGAGUAACAUUGAUGACUCGCUCAUUGGUGGAAAUG